AGGGACAUCUGGUUGCAACAUCUGUCACCCCAUUGAUCGCCAGGGUUGAUUCGACUGAUCUGGCUGGCUAGGUGGGUGUCCCCUUCCUCCCUCACCGCUUCAUGUGCGUCCCUCCUGAAGCUGCGCACUCGGUCGAAGAAGACGACCAUUCCCGAUAGAGGAGGACCAGUCUUCGGUCAAGGGUAUACGAGUAGCUGCGCUCCCCUGCUAGAACCUCCAAACAAGCUCUCAAGGUCCCUUGAUGCUUUUAAUAUUCUUUCUUUGUGUUAAGUCUUUGUUAGUUUGAUUAGUAUGUGUCUUGGCAUGUUUU
rnacentral:snRNA from 1 species